GACGAACGCUGGCGGCGUGCUUAACACAUGCAAGUCGAACGGAGCGAAUGAAAGCUUGCUUUUAUGAGCUUAGUGGCAAACGGGUGAGUAACACGUAGACAACCUGCCGACAGGAUGGGGACAACAUUCCGAAAGGAAUGCUAAUACCGAAUGAAGUCGAGGGAAGGCAUCUUCCUUCGAUGAAAGAUGGCCUCUGAAAAUGCUAUCACCUGUCGAUGGGUCUGCGUCUGAUUAGCUAGUUGGUGAGGUAACGGCUCACCAAGGCGACGAUCAGUAGCCGGUCUGAGAGGAUGAACGGCCACAUUGGGACUGAGACACGGCCCAGACUCCUACGGGAGGCAGCAGUGGGGAAUCUUCCGCAAUGGGCGCAAGCCUGACGGAGCAACGCCGCGUGAGUGAAGAAGGUCUUCGGAUCGUAAAGCUCUGUUGAUGGGGACGAACGUGCGAAGGGUGAAUAAUC
rnacentral:rRNA from 1 species